rnacentral:tRNA from 1 species
GGUGGGGUUCCCGAGCGGCCAAAGGGAGCAGACUGUAAAUCUGCCGUCAUCGACUUCGAAGGUUCGAAUCCUUCCGCCACCACCA